rnacentral:rRNA from 1 species
GACGAACGCUGGCGGCGUGCCUAACACAUGCAAGUCGAACGGGGCUCUUUGGAUCGAGACUUCGGUCAAGUGAAUCUGAGCUUAGUGGCGGACGGGUGAGUAACGCGUGAGCAACCUGCCUUUCAGAGGGGGACAACAGUUGGAAACGACUGCUAAUACCUCAUAUUGAGUUUUAAUCGCAUGGUUUAAACUUGAAAGAUUUAUCGCUUAUGGAUGGACUCGCGUCUGAUUAGCUAGUUGGUAGGGUAACGGCCUACCAAGGCGACGAUCAGUAGCCGAACUGAGAGGUUGAUCGGCCACAUUGGGACUGAGACACGGCCCAG